AUUGAACGCUGGCGGCAGGCUUAACACAUGCAAGUCGAGCGGAUGAAGGGAGCUUGCUCCUGGAUUCAGCGGCGGACGGGUGAGUAAUGCCUAGGAAUCUGCCUGGUAGUGGGGGAUAACGUCCGGAAACGGGCGCUAAUACCGCAUACGUCCUGAGGGAGAAAGUGGGGGAUCUUCGGACCUCACGCUAUCAGAUGAGCCUAGGUCGGAUUAGCUAGUUGGUGGGGUAAAGGCCUACCAAGGCGACGAUCCGUAACUGGUCUGAGGGGAUGAUCAGUCACACUGGAACUGAGACACGGUCCAGACUCCUACGGGAGGCAGCAGUGGGGAAUAUUGGACAAUGGGCGAAAGCCUGAUCCAGCCAUGCCGCGUGUGUGAAGAAGGUCUUCGGAUUGUAAAGCACUUUAAGUUGGGAGGAAGGGCAGUAAGUUAAUACCUUGCUGUUUUGACGUUACCAACAGAAUAAGCACCGGCUAACUUCGUG
rnacentral:rRNA from 1 species